UACGUAGGGUGCAAGCGUUGUCCGGAAUUAUUGGGCGUAAAGAGCUCGUAGGCGGUCUGUUGCGUCGGCUGUGAAAACCCGGGGCUCAACUCCGGGCCUGCAGCCGAUACGGGCAGACUAGAGUUCGGCAGGGGAGACUGGAAUUCCUGGUGUAGCGGUGAAAUGCGCAGAUAUCAGGAGGAACACCGGUGGCGAAGGCGGGUCUCUGGGCCGAUACUGACGCUGAGGAGCGAAAGUGUGGGGAUCAAACAGG
rnacentral:rRNA from 1 species